rnacentral:rRNA from 1 species
UACAGAGGGGGCGAGCGUUGUUCGGAAUUACUGGGCGUAAAGGGAGCGUAGGCGGGUUCUUAAGUAAGGUGUUUAAUCCCGGGGCCCAACCCCGGACCGGCAUUUUAAACUGGGAAUCUUGAAUAGUGGAGAGGUCAGUGGAAUUGGGGGUGUAGCGGUGGAAUGCGUAGAGAUCUCCAAGAACACCAGUUGCGAAGGCGGCUGACUGGACACAUAUUGACGCUGAGGCUCAAAAGCAUGGGGAGCAAACAGG